rnacentral:rRNA from 1 species
CCUACGGGAGGCAGCAGUCGGGAAUAUUGCGCAAUGGAGGAAACUCUGACGCAGUGACGCCGCGUGCAGGAAGCAGGUUUUCGGAUUGUAAACUGCUUUAGACAGGGAAGAAACAAGACAGUACCUGUAAAAUAAGCUUCGGCUAACUACGUGCCAGCGGCCGCGGUAAUACGGAGGGAGCAAGCGUUAUCCGGAUUUAUUGGGGUUCAUGGGAGCGUAGGCCGGUCUUUAAGCGUGCCGUGAAAUUUUGCGGCUCAACCAUGAGAGUGCAGCGCGAACUGGCGAUCUUGAGUGCGCGGAAGGCAGGCGGAAUUCGUGGUGUAGCGGUGAAAUGCGUAGAUAUCACGAGGAACCCCGAUGGCGAAGGCAGCCUGCCGCAGCGUUACUGACGCUGAAGCUCGAAAGCGCGGGUAGCGAACAGGAUUAGAUACCCGGGUAGUC